rnacentral:lncRNA from 1 species
ACACACCAUAUCCAUUAAGGAUUCGGAAAAGCACGCGAAAUAGCAAAAAAUCAAUUAUAGAAAUAAAAAGAUUGCGUGAGUCCCUGAAUGAAAUAGUUUCCAUUCAUUCGAUUACACCUCACAUCUUCCAUCCUGCUCUUUUAGCUGUGCCGAGUCCUGCAGCUUUCUCUCUCACUCUUUUAUCCGCGACCCCUCUCUCCCCGCUCACCUAUUUUUCUAGGUCAUUUUCAUAAUAGGCGCUACUAGCAGUUCAAAAAAAAUAGACCUCCUCCGCCUCCUCGAUGUCUGAUGUUUUUGUGCCCGUGUUUACAUUGAGGUCCGCGGUUUGGUUAUUAGUGAUUACAUAGAUGCUGUGAUUUUCGAGGAUAAUUUUCAUGGCUUUUUAUAUUUAUCCAUCCCUUUUUAGGGUUUUAAAUUUCUGGAAUACAAGGUGUUAGCCUCUUGAUGGCUAUGCCUACAAGUUUACAAUAUUUUCCUUCGAAUUAGAGUAGUUUUUACCACCCUCAAUGCUCUCUGUCUGUGAUCAGCCCCCCCUGUUUGGUCUCUCUCACCAUUGAUUUCGACAACUGAAAAUGCUAUGUAUAAAGAUGUGGAUCUUGAAACCUGAAACCAUGCCUUUCCUUGAAGCAUUGAAGAAAGCUAUCAAUAACAUUUUAUGAUGAGUAAUCUUGGCAAGCCGCUCGAAAGAGCCCGGGUCCAGACCAUGGAGCCCUCCGAACGGCGCCUGUCGGAUUUGGAUGAGCGACCUGAAAAACCUCCAUCAAAAAGAGAAAUGUCGAAUUUGGUGUUGAUGAGGAACUCCACAUUGGGUCAGUCAGCUCCUUCUUUAUCUUAUCAGAUGAAAGAGCUGAAUAUUGGUGGCAGGAGAAGUAGCCGAGUAAAUCAUCGGAAAAGUUUCAUAGCCAACACAUCACCAACAUUGCCUCGUUGUCAUUCACCCAUGUUAGGAAGUCCUCUGGAAAGUCCAAAAGUCUCCCCUUCAUUGCAUUUUCCUUUUGUUCCUGUUAAAAGGUAUGUAUUACGUGUUGAACUUAUAAAUUAUAAAAGUGAAAGAAAAUAAUAUUUCAAAAUGAUUGUCAGAAUGCCAUGAUCAAAUUAAAUCUUCUUCCUCUAGCCAGUAGAUGAAAAUAUUCUGUUUUGAAACCAAUUGUUUUCAUCUAGAUCUAUUUUCUAAUGAUAAAGUUUCUUUUUGUUGCAACUCAUGGUUAGAAUAAUGCACUUGUUGCUCUAAAAAUGAGAAGUGAUAUCUGAAACUUUGGGGUUUAUCGUAUAAAAAUAGAAAAUAAAUGGCAAUAAAAGGAACCACUAACCUCUGUUUCCCUUCAGCAACAAGCUUGCAAAACACAUUAUUUCACCAUUCUUAUUAUAAAUAAAUAAUAAAAAAAAAAAUUAGGUAACUUCUUUUGAUUAACUCUCAAUUAUUUGUCUAAUACAAAUUAUUUUUUCUUUCUUGUCAAA